rnacentral:rRNA from 1 species
GAUGAACGCUGGCGGCGUGCCUAAUACAUGCAAGUCGAGCGAACGGACGAGAAGCUUGCUUCUCUGAUUUUAGCGGCGGACGGGUGAUUCACACGUGGAUAACCUACCUAUACGACUGGGAUAACUUCGGGAAACCGGAGCUAAUACCGGAUAAUAUUUUGAACCUCAUGGUUCAAAAGUGAAAGACGCUCCUGCUGUCACUUAUAGAUUGAUCCGCGCUGCAUUAGCUAGUUGGUAAGGUAACGGCUUACCAAGGCAACGAUGGAUAGCCGACCUGAGAGGGUGAUCGGCCACACGGGAAGUGAGAAACGGUCCAGACUCCUACGGGAGGAAGCAGUAGGGAAUCUUCCGCAAGGGGCGAAAGCCUGACGGAGCAACGCCGCGUGAGUGAUGAAGGUCUUCGGAUCGUAAAACUCUGUUAUUAGGGAAGAACAUAUGUGUAAGUAACUGUGAACAUCUUGACGGUACCGAAUCAGAAAGCCACGGCUAACUACGUG